rnacentral:rRNA from 1 species
UAGGGUAAAUGCCUACCAAGCCGAUGAUCAAAAGCCAUGUUUGAUAGAGCAGAUGGCCACAUUGGGUAUGAAAAGCCCCAAGUAGAAUUAUCUACCAGCAGUCAAGAAUAUUAGUCAAUGCUCGCAAGAGUGAACUAGCUAACUGAAAUCACAGGAUCCACUACGUGUGGUGAAUGUAAUAACGUAAGGGAAAAAAAUGAUAUUACCUUACUAUUAGUGUUGUCCAAAACUGGUGCCAGAAGACUCGGUAAGGCCAGAGACGCAAACGUUAGUCGUCCUAAUCAGGCGUAAAGGGUAUGUAGGCUGCUUUAAAAGUUUAAGUUAAUAUUUUAAUAGCUCUGUUUAAAUGGAAAAUCUUUUAUUAGGAACAGUAAAAUAUACAAUGAAUUAAAGCUAGGAUCAAAUUGAGGAUAAUUUAAAUAAUACUUAGUGUAGGGUUUACAUCUGGUGAUACUAAGGGGAGUACUAACGGUGAAAGCUUUUUAUCUAGAAAUGAUUGACGCUGAGAAACGAAGGUGAGAAUAGGAAAUAGGAUUAGAUACCCAGAUACCUCUCACAGUCAACGAUGAAUGGUGGUUGUUAGUUAGUUUUAUCUAACUGAUAAUGAUGUUAACACGAUAACCAUUCCGCCUUGCGAGUACGGUUGCAAAACUGAAACCAAAAAAAUUAGUCGGUCUCGAAGCAAACGAAGUGAAGCAUGUUAUUUAAUACGAUAAUACGCGUAAAAUCUUACCAGUCCUUGUAUAUCCAAUUUUUCUAAUUAAAAUUAGAGAAAUUGAGUAGUUUCUUUUUUUAAAAAAUUAAGAAAUUCGUUUA